AAUGAACGCUGGCGGCGUGCCUAACACAUGCAAGUCGGAUGUGCCGCAAGGUGCAUGGCAGACGGGUGAGUAACGCGUAGGGAAUCUACCUUUUUGUGGGGAAUAACGCUCCGAAAGGAGUGGUAAUACCGCAUGAGACCGUGGCCUGGGAUGGUUACGGUGAAACCUGGGGACCGGCCAAGGCCUGGGGCAAAAAGAGGAUCCUGCGUCUGAUUAGCUAGUUGGCGGGGUAAUGGCCCACCAAGGCGACGAUCAGUAGCCGGCCUGAGAGGGUGGAUCGGCCACACUGGAACUGAGACACGGUCCAGACUCCUACGGGAGGCAGCAGUGGGGAAUUUUGCGCAAUGGACGAAAGUCUGACGCAGCAACGCCGCGUGGGUGA
rnacentral:rRNA from 1 species